GCAAGUCGAGCGGUAACAGGAAUUAGCUUGCUAAUUCGCUGACGAGCGGCGGACGGGUGAGUAAUGCCUGGGAAUAUGCCUUAGUGUGGGGGAUAACUAUUGGAAACGAUAGCUAAUACCGCAUAAUGUCUUCGGACCAAAGAGGGGGAUUCUUCGGAACCUCUCGCUCAUAGAUUAGCCCAAGUGAGAUUAGCUAGUUGGUAAGGUAAUGGCUUACCAAGGCGACGAUCUCUAGCUGGUCUGAGAGGAUGAUC
rnacentral:rRNA from 1 species